GACGAACGCUGGCGGCGUGCUUAACACAUGCAAGUCGAACGGAAAGGCCCUGCUUUUGUGGGGUGCUCGAGUGGCGAACGGGUGCGUAACACGUGAGUAACCUGCCCUUGAUUUUGGGAUAACUUCAGGAAACUGGGGCUAAUACCGGAUAGGAGCCCCCGCUGCAUGGUGGGGGUUGGAAAGUUUCGGCGGUUGGGGAUGGACGCGCGGCUUAUCAGUCUGUUGGUGGGGUAGUGGCUUACCAAGGCUUUGACGGGUAGCCGGCCGGAGAGGGUGACCGGCCACAUUGGGACUGAGAGACGGCCCAGACUCCUACGGGAGGCAGCAGUGGGGAAUAUUGCACAAUGGGCGGAAGCCUGAUGCAGCAACGCCGCGUGCGGGAUGACGGCCUUCGGGUUGUAAACCGCUUUCGCCUGUGACGAAGCGUGAGUGACGGUAAUGGGUAAAGAAGCACCGGCUAACUACGUG
rnacentral:rRNA from 1 species